rnacentral:rRNA from 1 species
AAACUUUUAACAACGGAUCUCUUGGCUCUCGCAUCGAUGAAGAACGCAGCGAAAUGCGAUAAGUAAUGUGAAUUGCAGAAUUCAGUGAAUCAUCUAAUCUUUGAACGCACCUUGCGCUCCUUGGUAUUCCGAGGAGCAUGCCUGUUUGAGUGUCAUAA